rnacentral:rRNA from 1 species
AGAGUUUGAUCAUGGCUCAGGACGAACGCUGGCGGCGUGCUUAACACAUGCAAGUGGUGCGACGAACCAGGGCUUGCCCUGGGGCAAAGCCGCGAACGGGUGAGUAACACGUGAGUAACCUGCCCCGAUGACCGGGACAACCCGAGGAAACUCGGGCUAAUACCGGAUGUGGCGCACUGGCGUAAGCCGGUUCGCUAAAGGAAGCUUCGGCCUCCGCAUUGGGAGGGGCUCGCGGCCCAUUAGCUUGUUGGUGGGGUAACGGCCUACCAAGGCAACGAUGGGUAGCUGGUCUGAGAGGACGAUCAGCCACACUGGGACUGAGACACGGCCCAGACUCCUACGGGAGGCAGCAGUGGGGAAUCUUGCGCAAUGCGCGAAAGCGUGACGCAGCAACGCCGCGUGGGGGAAGACGGCCUUCGGGUUGUAAACCCCUUUCAGGAGGGACGAAGGUUCACCGGUGAAUAGCCGUGUGGAUUGACGGUACCUCCACAAGAAGCUCCGGCUAACUACGUGCCAGCAGCCGCGGUAAUACGUAGGGAGCAAGCGUUGUCCGGAAUCAUUGGGCGUAAAGCGCGCGUAGGUGGCCUCAUAAGUCCGCUGUGAAAGUCAAAGGCUCAACCUUUGAAAGCCGGUGGAUACUGUGAGGCUAGAGUACGGAAGAGGCGAGUGGAAUUCCUGGUGUAGCGGUGGAAUGCGCAGAUAUCAGGAGGAACACCAAUAGCGAAGGCAGCUCGCUGGGACGUUACUGACACUGAGGCGCGAAAGCGUGGGGAGCGAACAGGAUUAGAUACCCUAGUAGUCC